GCUUAAAAUCCUAAGAAAUUUGAAUUUUCUACCUAGCAUCAAAUCAAGAGUCCAGCUUGCCCACGUGAAGUAAGACCUCGAAUUCUUUUUCAAACUUGGUGAUGAAGAAUCGACUUGAACAAAUUGCUGCUUUAGUAGAUGCUUCUCUAUAUGAACCACCGACAUCUUCAGAAAAUGCUUUACCUUGAACUCGUAGAUCAAGUGAUGAGUUUCUGCACUGCUUUACCUUGAACCGUAGGUCAGCACUAUUCACAAUAGCUAGAAUCUGGAAACAACCUGAGUGCACGGGAAAAGACGACUGGUAAAAGAAACCUUGUUACAUCUACACAGCGGAAUACUAUGCAGCUGUUAGAAAAGAUGAAGUCAUGAAAUUUGCUUAUAAAUGUAUGGACAUGGAGUGUAUCAUGCUAAGUGAAAUGAGUUAGAGAGGGAAAGACAUCGAAUGACUGCUCUUGUUUGUGGAAUGUAAAAUAACAAAGACUAACACCCAAGGACAGUAGAAACAAGGGCCAGGAGGAUCGCUCCGAGUUUGCAAUCCUGCUUCAUGUGUUGAGGAAGAAGGCAGUUGGGAUGGAGAAGGGACCACUAAAUAAAUGAUAGAUGGAAGAAUCACUCGGGAUGGGUGAUGUGUGCUGAAAGUAGACUACGGGCCAAACAUUAUGGCUUAGUAUCUGUUGCAAGCCUUGAUGCCCAAAAGUAGAGAGAGUAAUAAGAAAGAUGCCUGCCACAGAGGCAGGGGGUGGGAUGGGGUGAGGAUAUCAGGAGGGAUACUGGUGACAUUGGUGGAGGAAAAUACGCACUGGUGGAGGAUGGGUGCCCGAUCACGUAUCACUAAAACUCAAUCCUAAAAGCUUUGUAACUGGAUCUCACAGUGAUUCAAUUAAAAAAGUUGGGUUUUUCUCAAAGGGUGCUUUUCUUAGUUAAUUUGUAUCAUAGCCUAUGAGGAUGAUCAACAAAAAUAGUUGACCCCAAGGAACCACU